rnacentral:lncRNA from 1 species
CACAGCUGCACAUGGGGCCAGCAAAGAAUGCCACUUUGGAACCACUUCCAUCUCUUACCAUUGGUCUUUCCUAGCAUUGCUGUGCACUGGACCAGUUGACUUCAUAAGGACGUCUCAUGCAUGUUGAGUUUGGCAGCAGAGGUUGUGGACCAGUCUGCACUGAUUUUACUGGACACACAAGAUCACUCCCCAGGACUAUGCUUUGUCAGCUUCAUGGUGAGACC